GCACAGCCAUAAACUUCGAUAGAAAUCUACAAUCUCUAUCCGCCUGGGAACUACGAGCAUGAGCUUAAAACCCAAAGGACUUGGCGGUGCUUUAGACCCCCCUAGAGGAGCCUGUUCUAGAACCGAUAACCCCCGUUUGACCUCACCUUUUCUUGUCCACCCCGCCUAUAUACCGCCGUCGUCAGCAUACCCUGUGAAGGAAACAUAGUAAGCAAAACUGGUAAAACCCAAAACGCCAGGUCGAGGUGUAGCGCACGAAAAGGAAAGAAAUGGGCUACAUUUCCUCCCCCAGGAAAUACGAAUUGUGCCAUGAAACAACACAUGAAGGAGGAUUUAGCAGUAAGCAGAAAACAGAGCGUUCCGCUGAACCUGGCCCUGAAGCGCGC
rnacentral:rRNA from 1 species